rnacentral:rRNA from 1 species
AACGAACGCUGGCGGCAUGCCUACACAUGCAAGUCGAACGAGACCUUCGGGUCUAGUGGCGCACGGGUGCGUAACGCGUGGGAACCUGCCCUUAGGUUCGGAAUAACUCCCCGAAAGGGGUGCUAAUACCGGAUAAUGUCUUCGGACCAAAGAUUUAUCGCCUUUGGAUGGGCCCGCGUUGGAUUAGCUAGUUGGUAGGGUAAAAGCCUACCAAGGCGACGAUCCAUAGCUGGUCUGAGAGGAUGAUCAGCCACACUGGGACUGAGACACGACCCAGACUCCUACGGGAGGCAGCAGUGGGGAAUAUUGGACAAUGGGCGAAAGCCUGAUCCAGCAAUGCCGCGUGAGUGAUGAAGGCCUUAGGGUUGUAAAGCUCUUUUACCCGGGAUGAUAAUGACAGUACCGGGAGAAUAAGCUCCGGCUAACUCCGUG